AGUGAACGCUGGCGGUAGGCCUAACACAUGCAAGUCGAACGGCAGCACAGUAAGAGCUUGCUCUUACGGGUGGCGAGUGGCGGACGGGUGAGGAAUACAUCGGAAUCUACUUUUUCGUGGGGGAUAACGUAGGGAAACUUACGCUAAUACCGCAUACGACCUACGGGUGAAAGCAGGGGAUCUUCGGACCUUGCGCGAUUGAAUGAGCCGAUGUCGGAUUAGCUAGUUGGCGGGGUAAAGGCCCACCAAGGCGACGAUCCGUAGCUGGUCUGAGAGGAUGAUCAGCCACGCUGGAACUGAGACACGGUCCAGACUCCGACGGGAGGCAGCAGUGGGGAAUAUUGGACAAUGGGCGCAAGCCUGAUCCAGCCAUACCGCGGGGGUGAAGAAGGCCUUCGGGUUGUAAAGCCCUUUUGUUGGGAAAGAAAAGCAGCAGGUUAAUACCCCGCUGUUCUGACGGUACCCAAAGAAUAAGCACCGGCUAACUUCGU
rnacentral:rRNA from 1 species